GUUUCCAGAUAUUUGCACAUACAGAGGCAAAGAGAUUCCAAAGACAGGAUACUUAUAUUUAGACGACAAUUGUGAAAGGGUUUCAUGCCGUAAUCAUGCCCCCUUUAUUGAAAGGUGCCCCAAACCAAAUCAUGAAGAAUUUGGAAGCUGUGUAUACACUCGUAAGCCAGGUCACUACCCGGCGUGCUGCAAAUGGGAGCGCACAUGUUAGUAGCAGAUGCAGAUAUUAUAUUAUAUUUCGGAAAUUGUUUACAGCUGUCUUGGUACACCCUGUGUGCAAUCGGAAGGGAUUUGGCUGAAUAAAUAAAUAAUAUAUUUUACCCUCA